UCCCUGGUGGUCCAGUGGUUAGGACUCCACGCUCUGACUGCCGAGGUCCUAGGUUCAAUCCCUGGUCAGGGAA